UUGGAAGUAAUUGGCACAGUUUGUGAUCAAGGAGCACCUAAUAGGUCCGCUAUAAAUUUAUUGUACUCAGAGACAAAUAGAAUUUUCAAGUCAAGAGAUCAAGAAAAUAGAUUAUUUGGUUUUUUAGUGAAUGAUAAGGAAAUUGUGCCCCUUUAUGACCCUCCACAUUUAUUAAAAUGUAUGCGGAACCUGCUUUUUGACCACGAUAUUGAAUAUGAAAUAAAGGGAAAAACUAUGACGGCCAAAUGGGAGCAUAUUGCCAACCUUGUUUCCCUUGAUCAAGUAGAAGAAGACACAGAUUAUAGAAUGCUUCAUAAAAUCACAAAUCUACAUAUUCAAAAUCGAAAAAAAAUGAAAGUUGCGUAUGCUGCCCAAAUUUUCAGUAAGCGAGUGGCUUCUCUAUUACGUGGUUUAGCACGUCUGUCACCACACAACAUACCUACUAACGCUACAGAAACUGCAGAGUUGGUUCUUUUUAUGGAUAAAUGCUUUGAUAGCGUAAAUGGGUCAAAGUAUGUGCAAGAGAACCGACUCAGAUGUGCAGUUAGCAAGGAUUCUCCACAUUUCGACUUCUGGCUUGAAGCUUUAAAAGUUUUUGAAUCUAUGAGAUGUUUACGAUCUAAUGGCAGCAAGUACAAACCCCCAACAAUUCAUAAUUGGGUGCACACCCUAAAAGGGUUUCGGUAUUUAUGGAAGAAAUUCCAAAAAGAAGGUGUCACCUAUUUAUCCUGCCGGAAUAUUAAUCAAGAUCCUCUAGAAAACUUUUUUGGAGCUAUUAGAAGCCACGGUAUCCGGAACAUUAAUCCAACCUGCCAAUCUUUUACAUAUUCAUUUAGAACUUUGUUAUUAAAUAAUUUAACCUCUGUACAUUCACCUAGUGCCAAUUGUGAAAAAGACGAUUCAUCAGUGUUAGAUUCCUUUAAAAGUUUGAUUAGCGUUCCACAACAAACAUCAGAUGUGCAUUUCGAAGUACCAGACGUUAAUUUAUCAAGUGAAUUAAGUGACCAGUCCUUACAAAGAACUGCCACUUCAACAUAUGUUGCAGGAAGUGUUGUGAGAAGUAUUAUAAAACAAAUAAACAAUUGUGUGUUAUGUAAAAAACAGCUUGUGGGGUCGUUAAAUGAAUUAUCUUUGAAAGAGAGAUUUAUUAUUCAAGAAUAUCAGAUAGAAAAUAGGCGCCCAUUGACAACUCCUUCAAUAAUGUUUAAUACACUAUUUCAAACUGCCAUUCAUAUACUUACUGAGAUUUUGCCGCAAGUAUGUCACAAGCAAAAUAUAAAAUGCGUUUUAAAGGUAAUCUUAAAACAAAAUUUAAGUUUCACUUGCAUAUGUCAGGAACAUGAUUUGUUCGAUAUAAUUUGUGAGAAAAUAAGCCUUUUUCAUUCUCUUACUUGGGCUAAAAAUAUAAACAAAAUGUAAAGGUGGGUCCAGACUUGAGGGCACAUGACCAGAGCGCGCACACAUGCGUGUGUUCUCAAGUUGUGUGCACUCAGCUCAUGCGGGAAAUGCAAUUUCUAAGGGCGCACGCAUAUGCACUCACAUUGCUCAGUCCAUGCGUACGUGUCGAUGAGAUAAGAUGUCUACCGAUGAAGAAAUGGUUAUGUUGGCUGCGGCAAGUUUUAUUUUUAUAAAUGAAGAAGAAAAGAAGAAAGAACAGAAAACCAAAAAAAGCCGGCGUUGGUGGGUGACACACAUUUUCAAACAAAGGAAUCGGUUAGGUGGUACAAAAUUAUUACGCAGUAUGCAGCUGGAAGAAGCGACAGGUCAAUUUAAAAACUUUGUGAGGAUGUCGGCAGAAGAUUUUGAAUUACUGCUAAACGAAGUUGGCCCUAUAAUAGCAAAGCAAGAAACAAAAUUUAGAAAAAGCAUUACCCCUACGGAACGGCUGGCACUAACGUUACGUUUCCUCGCAACAGGGGAUUCGUAUACAAGUCUACAGUACCUCUUCAAGAUAUCUAAGCAAGCAAUUUCAUGCAUAAUUCCAGAAGUUUGUGCUGCACUCAUUGAGGCUCUCAAAAGUUAUGUUCAGCUGCCUAAAACUGACAACGAGUGGAGGCGUGUUUCUGAAAGAUUUGAAAAAUCGUGGGGUUUUCCUAAUUGUUUAGGAAGCAUGGACGGCAAGCACAUAGUACUCCAAAGUCCUAUAAACAGCAGAAGCGAUUACUUUAAUUACAAAUCGUUUUUCAGCAUUGUAUUGUUUGCUUUGGUAGAUGCUGAUUAUCAGUUUAUGUUCGUUGAUGUUGGGUGUCAAGGACGGAUAUCUGAUGGAGGGGUUUUUAAGCAUAGCAAACUGCAUAAACUUCUUCACACAAAUAGUUCGAAUUUCCCAGAAGACAAAUCCCUGCCAGGAAGGGAUAAAUUAAUUCCCUAUGUUAUAGUGGGAGAUGACGCAUUCCCGCUUACAGAGCGUAUUAUGAAACCUUUUUCUGGUAUGUAUGAGAAGGGGUCAUCCGAAAGAAUAUUUAAUUAUCGACUUAGCCGAGCCCGCCGGAUAGUAGAAAAUGUAUUUGGUAUACAAUCUGCAAUAUUUCGUGUCUUACGGAAACCUAUUUUACUGCAACCAGAAAAGGCAGAACUAGUAGUGCUCACAACAGUUUACCUUCACAACUUUUUGAGGAAAUCUGCUUCAUCACGAAAUAUAUAUACUCCGCCGGGUACAUUUGACUCUGAGGUAGAAGGAAAAAUAAUAGAUGGUAGUUGGAGAAAAGCACAUGGUGACAACGCUAGCUCCCUCCGGCCUAUGCGCAAUGUACCUCGCAGACCAACACUUAAUGCGUCUUCAAUUCGAAUUGAAUUUUCCGAGUACUUUAAGAGUAAUGGAGCCCUACCUUGGCAAGAUGAAUAUGCCUAAAACGUUUGCACUUACCAAAUCUUUUUCUGUGUCCAGUGUAUCUCGGGGAGCGUCUCGGUCAAGCAAAAAAUGCAUCCUUUCAAACGCAAACCAUUUCGAUAUGUACACUUCUUGACGUGCUAGAAACAAUACAUCAUAUAAAUAUGUACCUAAUAAUAAAAUGUACUACUUCA